AUUUAUUUUGAACAGAGGAACACAAACUAGCGGAUGUGGGAUUGUUUCCUUGGGCGUCAGAGUCUUUGCAAAUAUUUUGAAAUUUCUUCCGUUAUUGGGCAUCGACAUUGUUUAGGCAUUGCUCCUUUCGUCAUUUUGGUGUGGUAGUCGUUCUUUCCUUGGGCAUUCAUAACUGGGUGAGUUAUAAUAUGAAAUUCCUACAAAUUUUCCUUAAUUUCUUUCAGCAUUUGAUCUGACAUUUCUUCUUGUUAUCUCCGCCUGUUCUACUUCCACUGAUGUUUUUCGUGAGAUUAAAGAAAUUAGCGUUUAGUUGUACAUCACAAAGCUAUUUUAUGCCUUGAAUUUCUGGGCUUCUUGAGCCAUGAACCCUAGUUAGAUUCCCGGGCUUCCUUGUUUCCACGUCUCGGGAGGAAAAACCUGCAGAUGUGGUAUGAUUUUCGAAGAGCAACCAGGAUUGCAAGUGGUCGAAGAAUGUUGUUCCCUCGCUUCAAUAAUUAACAAUGCCGAUAAAUUGGUUUCACUUUAUUACCUCCCAGACUGUUUGAAGCACCGACUGAGUCAGUUACUCUGCGAUUCUCGAAGAAUGAAUGCUCAUGUUUUUAAGCUUCUGCUUCAAGGGUCCCCAACAGAGGUUUGCGUGAAGGAUUGUUCUUGGCUAAUAGAGGAAGAGUUCACAAAAUGUUUGUAGAACUUUGAUCCGAGCAACUUAAUGGUGUUAUUUUUCAGCCCCUGCACUUAGAUCUCCCAACCUCACCGAGUGCUCCCUUCUCACCUCCUCGAGUAUUGACACCUUAGCUAACUCAUUGGGUUUGAUCCUGAGAGAGCUGUAUCUUGAUCUACACUUAGAAAGCUGAGGGAUGAGAUUGCAAAGUUAUAGUGUGGGUGGAUGUAGCAAAAAAACCGGACGCUUUCUUGUGGACGCCAAUGAGUGAUAUGAGGACCAUUGAAGAAGCAAUUUCAAGUAAUGUGGCUUGACUUGCUGAUAAAAUUUUAAAGGGCAAUGAAGACUCAUGCUUUCUCCAACUAUCUACAUACCAAUACAUGUAAGCCAUGCUCUCUGUCUUACAAGUUUGACAUUAAAUUUUUGUCUAGUGCAUCAUUGAAGUCAUGUUUCCUCUUCACUGCAAAACAUAUGUGAAUGUGGCAACGUAGUUGUGAAUGGUGUAACUAGUCUUUGCUUUAUUUAUAGGUUAAAUGG